UGAAGGUUCGGUUGAGGUGUAAGGAGUACUUGUAUUCUAUCCCCUUAGCUCGUGUUUAGAGGUUUACUUGCUGAGUACCGUGUGGUUUGGUACUCACCCCUUGCUUCUACAAAUUUUUGUAGGUUACGAGCCUGAAUGUUUGUGGUACUUGUCAUUCUCUUCUUUUCCAAGGCUUCUGGGAGAUUUGUGAGGUAGUUGUUUGUCUUCUCAGCGAUCCUUCUUACUCCUGUUUAUGAUCUUGUUCUACUCUAGAAACAAUGUCAUAUGAGACUUGUAUUUUUCUUUUUAUUCAAUUGUAAUACUUUAGAGGCUUGUACACGUGACAACCAGAUUUUGGG
rnacentral:lncRNA from 1 species